AGGUUCGGUGAAGUCCCAGAUCAUGGCCCAGGGCAUGCGGGGCAGAUCACACAGCUUAAUGCAGAUAAGUAACAAGAUAUUGGAAGACAAGUGUUGAAGAUGAAAGAGGCACAAGAUAGAAGAAACCUGGGUCCUUAGAUCCCUGCUUGAAGGAAAACCACUUGCCAAUCCAGAACAUCAUUUUGGACUUCAUAUGAGUGAGAAGCAAUCCUGUAUCAUGUUUGAGCCAUUAAGAGUAUUUUGGUUGUUUGUUCUGAUAGCUGCUGGGCGCAGUGGCUCACGUCUGUAAACCCAGCACUUUGGGAGGCCGACGCAGGCGGAUCACAAGGUCAGGAGAUCAAGACCAUCCUGGCUAACACGUUCAUAUGAGGUAUUAUGUCACCAAUGAGCAGGGACUAUGAUGAAUGUGUCUUUAGAACACCCAAUGAAGUGCCACUUGCCACAAGAAGGUGGGAUCAUUACUUGCCAGCCUUCUAGCUGAUGCCAGUGACAACAGCACGACAGGCUGAACUGGAUUCUUUAUGACUAUGUAUUCAUUAGGGGGAAAAAGCACUUCCAAUGCAAAUGACGGAAAUGGAAACAAGAUGUGCACUCUGCUGCCUAAAUGAAAGCUCUACCAGGUAGGCCGUUCACACUAAGAGUAGCCAAACAGGGUCUGUCAGGACAGUGGCUGCAACCCCUGUCACAGAGAAUGGACAGUGAGAGGUCCAAAUGGAUUGGGGGGCAUGAAUGGCACCUGACUUACAGCAGGAGCUCAGCACUUUUACUGUCUUUGCCGCUUCACUGGAACAAGGAGAAAAAGACAUUAGGAUGAAGGAUAAUGUGUGAUACACACAUAAAGAUGAAAGCGAGAGGGACACAUGCAAUGUCAUUUAUUGGAAGGACCACUUUAGGCUGCUCUGUCCUCUCCCCUUAAAACAUGCUCCACAUUGUUUUAACCAUCUGUGGCCCACUCUGGAGCUCAAGGAACCGUGGCCUUUCUGCUUUAUUGUGAGCACAGCCAUAUGAAACUGCAAUCUGGCAGCUGAAGGGGAAAGUACUUUUACUGUCUCUACUAAGAAAGGGUUUGGAUGAAUCGAAUCCCCUGUUAUGCAUGAAAUUGUACCCCCUAGAAAGCUCUGUUUAUGACCCAACCCACGGUACCUGUGAAUGUGACCUUAUUUGAAAAUACGGUCUUAUAGAUGUAAUCAAGCAAAGAUGAGGUGACAGUGAAUUAGGAUGGGCCUCAGCCAACAUGACUGGUGUCCUUAUGAGAAGCAAGGAAGAGAUAUAAGGAGAACAUGGUGUGACAAUUGAGACAGAGAUUGGAGUGAUGCAUCUACAAGCCAAAAAAUGUCAAGAGCUGUGAGUCACACCAGAAGCUAAGAGAAAGGCGUGGGACUGACCCUCCCCUAGAGCCAUCAGAAAGAGUCUGACCCUGGUGACACCUUGAUUUUGGACUUCUAGCCUCCAGAAUUAUGAGAAUAAAUUUGUGUUGCUUUAAGCCACUCCGUUUGUGGUAAUUUGUUAUGACAGUUCUAAGAAACUAAUCCACCCUGCUAAAGAGUAAAUGUCCAAUGCAAAACUUACUACAAGGAUGAAAAGGCUGAGAUAUUCCGAAGAGUCAUAAUGAACUGUGCCAUCAUCUACAAGGAAGUGCAGCACUGCAACAAUUCAAGAUAGAUCCUGGAGGCGUGGCAGGACAGAUGUGCCCACCAGACCAGGAGCACUUUCAGGACAGCAUCAUGCCUUGUUCUCCUCCACAUCCCUCCCUCUGUGCCUGAAAACCAGAAAUGCUCAAUUAAAUGUUGAAAAUGUCAA
rnacentral:lncRNA from 1 species